UUUUAAAACGCCACUAAACACGUAACCUCACCCCCAAGAGAUCACAUCUCGACCGUUAAUCUUACUAUCGAAUUAUUCGAUCUCGUCCGUCCAUUAGUCCCAACACUCUGUAUAAAAAAACGCCUUGAUCUCAUUGGUUUUCAUACCCUCUUUUUAAUCGUUAUCUCUUUCAACUUUUUGUUCAUCGCUUUUCUCUAGAUCUAUCUUUUACGUCGAUUUGUUUGACGUAUUGGAAGACUCUCCGAUUCAGUUCUUCCGUCGAUCUGCGAAUCGGCGUCGUAUACACAUGGAUCUUGUAGCUCCGGUUUGAUCCACGAUCCAGGAGACGGAUCUUAGCUGCUGAGAUCUCCGACGAUCGGUUGAAGAGCUGAUCUGAUCGAGCAUCAUGAUCUCGGCAAGCUAGGUUCGUCGGAUCUGUGAUAUGCUUUGCGGCUUGAUGAGGUGAUGAUGAGUCACCGAGAGGAGGAAUUGGAGAAGAGGGAAGAGGAUUCAGAUAUGUGAAUUGAUAAUGAGUAUGAUGGAUGUAUGAGAUGUUUGUUAAGGACGAUAUAGCCUGAUGGAUUAGGCUUGAGUUCUGAUUAAGCAUCUUUGUCAUCCGACCUUUGCCAUGACAGGUGCGCUUGCAUGGCAGGUCUCCAAAUAAUAAUAAAAAUAAUUGUUUCGUGUUGGUGAGGGGAGUUCGCACGGGGAAUUUUUUUUUAAGCCCGGGUUCUCCCCCUCACCUUUGUGUCUUGCUCUCUCGCUCUCUGAUUCCUUUGAUCUCGAUUCACCACAAUAUCUCUAGAUACACAGACAUAUUUUGAAUUGAUUCGGAUCUGGAGUCUAACGCGGAUAUAUCUAGAUCCAACGUACUCCACAGAGGCAAAGGUACUUUAAGUUUGAGUUUUGAUUCUCCAUUCACAUGUUUAUUCGUAGUUCAACCUAUCAUAACUCCAAAUUGAAUUUCAUUUUGCUCAUGGAGACGCUCAAAAUUGACAUGUGAAAAUAUUUAAUAUCAAGCACUUUUCAAUUUCUUUCUUUAAUAAUGCUAUAUACAUACUUCUAGUUAUUUGUUUGUAAGAACAAUGUUCUAGCAACAUGUAUCCACUUUUAUAGUAUAUAAUGAUACAAAGAAGUACGUUAGAGUGCCAUCAAUUUGCACAAUACUGUAAGCAUGUUGUCUUGUAUGAUUGUAUCUAUGUUUUUCAUAGAGCUAAUGGCUCUGGUGACAGAAGACCUUGGAGGUAUCGCCAUCUGCCUUAAUAAUAGAUGCGAUGUUUAGCAAUGGAUAAAUCGAGCGCACGAGUGUGUUCAUGUUGAAGCAAUGAGGUAUCUAAAUCAAGUUACUUGUCUGACUUUUUGUAUGUAAAAUUAGAUACAGUGUUUCUAUAUUGAAAAAGAGUAUUUCACUGUUGGCAAUUUGAAGGAACCAUCGAAUAUUUAGCGAAAAUCUUACAUUGUAUUUUGCAUAAACACUUGUGCAUAAUACAUUUAUGUUGUUA